UACAGAGGGUGCAAGCGUUGUUCGGAAUUAUUGGGCGUAAAGCGCGUGUAGGCGGCAUUGCAAGUCGGGUGUGAAAGCCCUCAGCUCAACUGAGGAAGUGCGCCCGAAACUGCAGUGCUUGAAUACCGGAGAGGAUGGCGGAAUUCCCCAAGUAGAGGUGAAAUUCGUAGAUAUGGGGAGGAACACCGGUGGCGAAGGCGACUUCCUGGCCUGUUCUUGACGCUGAGGCGCGAAAGCUAGGGGAGCAAACGGG
rnacentral:rRNA from 1 species